UCUUCCUUAGCUCAGGUUGGUUAGAGCAUCUGACUGUUAAUCAGAGGGUCCUUGGUUCAAAUCCAAGAGGGAGAGCAA
rnacentral:tRNA from 1 species